UACGGAGGGUGCAAGCGUUGUUCGGAAUCACUGGGCGUAAAGGGCGUGUAGGCGGCCUGGGGCGUCCCAUGUGAAAGGCCACGGCUCAACCGUGGAGGAGCGUGGGAUACGCUCAGGCUAGAGGGUGGGAGAGGGUGGUGGAAUUCCCGGAGUAGCGGUGAAAUGCGCAGAUACCGGAAGGAACGCCGAUGGCGAAGGCAGCCACCUGGUCCACUUCUGACGCUGAGGCGCGAAAGCGUGGGGAGCAAACCGG
rnacentral:rRNA from 1 species